rnacentral:rRNA from 1 species
CAGUAGCCGCGGUGAUACGUAGGUGGCAAGCGUUGUCCGGAAUUAUUGGGCGUAAAGGGCUCGCAGGCGGUUUCUUAAGGCUGAUGUGAAAGCCCCCGGCUCAACCGGGGAGGGUCAUUGGAAACUGGGAAACUUGAGUGCAGAAGAGGAGAGUGGAAUUCCACGUGUAGCGGUGAAAUGCGUAGAGAUGUGGAGGAACACCAGUGGCGAAGGCGACUCUCUGGUCUGUAACUGACGCUGAGGAGCGAAAGCGUGGGGAGCGAACAGGAUUAGAUACCCCCGUAGUCCCUGUCUCUUAUAC